UACGGGGGGGGCAAGCGUUGUUCGGAAUUACUGGGCGUAAAGGGCUCGUAGGUGGCCAACUAAGUCAGACGUGAAAUCCCUCAGCUUAACUGGGGAACUGCGUCUGAUACUGGAUGGCUUGAGUUUGGGAGAGGGAUGCGGAAUUCCAGGUGUAGCGGUGAAAUGCGUAGAUAUUGGGAGGAACACCGGUGGCGAAGGCGGCUACCUGGACCGGUUCUGACGCUGAUGCGCGAAAGCGUGGGUAGCAAACAGG
rnacentral:rRNA from 1 species